rnacentral:rRNA from 1 species
CAAGUCAGCAUGGCCCUUACAUCCUGGGCUACACACACGCUACAAUGGGUGAUACAAUAGGUUGCAAUAGAGCGAUCUGGAGCCAAUCCAAAAAAUCAUCCUCAGUUCGGAUUGCAGGCUGCAACUGCCUGCAUGAAGUUGGAGUUGCUAGUAAACGCAGGUCAGCACACUGCGUUGAAUACGUUCUCGGGCCUCGUACACACCGCCCGUCACGUCAUGGAAGUCGGUAACACCUGAAGUCGAUAGGCUAACCCGCACGGGAGGCAGUCGCCGAAGGUGGGACCGGUGACUGGGACGAAGUCGUAACAAGGUGGCCGUACGGGAACGUGCGGCUGGAUCACCUCCUU